UGGGGAAUAUUGCACAAUGGGCGCAAGCCUGAUGCAGCCAUGCCGCGUGUGUGAAGAAGGCCUUCGGGUUGUAAAGCACUUUCAGCGGGGAGGAAGGCGAUAAGGUUAAUAACCUUGUCGAUUGACGUUACCCGCAGAAGAAGCACCGGCUAACUCCGUGCCAGCAGCCGCGGUAAUACGGAGGGGGCAAGCGUUAAUCGGAAUUACUGGGCGUAAAGCGCACGCAGGCGGUCUGUCAAGUCGGAUGUGAAAUCCCCGGGCUCAACCUGGGAACUGCAUUCGAAACUGGCAGGCUAGAGUCUUGUAGAGGGGGGUAGAAUUCCAGGUGUAGCGGUGAAAUGCGUAGAGAUCUGGAGGAAUACCGGUGGCGAAGGCGGCCCCCUGGACAAAGACUGACGCUCAGGUGCGAAAGCGUGGGGAGCAAACAGG
rnacentral:rRNA from 1 species